rnacentral:rRNA from 1 species
UACGGAGGGUGCAAGCGUUAUCCGGAUUCACUGGGUUUAAAGGGUGCGUAGGUGGCUUGGUAAGUCAGUGGUGAAAGCCCGGAGCUCAACUCCGGAACUGCCAUUGAUACUGCUUAGCUUGAAUCAGGUCGAGGUGGAUGGAAUAUUACAUGUAGCGGUGAAAUGCUUAGAUAUGUAAUAGAACACCGAUUGCGAAGGCAGUUCACUAGGCCUGUAUUGACACUGAGGCACGAAAGCGGGGGGAUCAAACAGG